UCAUUAUACAAAACCAAUAUGGAAUUUGUCGAGGAAAAUGAAUGAAAUGACAAGGAGGGAAAUGAGGAGGGGGGAGAGGAAGAAGUUUUCAACAAAAAACUUGUUCCCACUUGGCAGGGAAAUGGAAAGAGGAUGAAAAAAAACGCGGACAAAAGCAGAUGUUCGAAAAGAAAACAAAAGUAAAUCCUCCUUUCUUUUUUUGUUUCUCCCUCAU
ensembl:ncRNA F42H10.11 ncRNA